AACAUCACACAAACAACAAAUGGUUGAGAAUAAUCUCGAAAUAUAUAAUGGUGCAAAAGUAUGCAAGGGUAGCCAAACAAGCAUCAACAAUUAAUCAACACAAUUCAUUCACAUACACUACAAAAAUAUUCUCAAUCACCAACAUCAACAUAAUCAUUCAAUACAUAUGCAACAACGUAUGUAAUAUACUCAACACCAAGACUCUACAUGUAUGCGGUACCAUUAUGGACAAUACAUGUCCAUCUC
rnacentral:lncRNA from 1 species